rnacentral:tRNA from 1 species
UAGCUCAGUUGGUAGAGCACAAGGCUUUUAAUCUUGUGGUCAUGGGUUCAACCCCAC